AAUCGGGUAUCGACUAAGCCAUGCGAGUCAAUGUUCUUCGUGAACAUGGCGUACUGCGUCAGUAACACGUGGAUAACCUGCCCUUAGGACUGGCAUAACCCCGGGAAACUGGGGAUAAUUCCGGAUAGUUCAUGGUAGCUGGAAUGCUCCAUGAUCGAAAGCUAUUGCGCCUAAGGAUGGGUCUGCGGUCUAUCAGGUAGUAGUGGGUGUAAUGUACCUACUAGCCGACGACGGAUACGGGUUGUGGGAGCAAGAGCCCGGAGAUGGAUUCUGAGACAUGAAUCCAGGCCCUACGGGGCGCAGCAGGCGCGAAAACUUUACAAUGCGGGAAACCGCGAUAAGGGGACACCGAGUGCCAGCAUCUUAUGUUGGCUGUCCGCAUGUAUAAAUCACAUGUGUUAGCAAGGGCCGGGCAAGACCGGUGCCAGCCGCCGCGGUAACACCGGCGGCCCGAGUGGUGGCCACUAUUAUUGGGUCUAAAGGGUCCGUAGCCGGUUUGGUCAGUCUUCCGGGAAAUCUGACGGCUUAACCGUUAGGCUUUCGGGGGAUACUACCAGGCUUGGGACCGGGAGAGGUAAGAGGUACUACGGGGGUAGGAGUGAAAUCUUGUAAUCCUCGUGGGACCACCAGUGGCGAAGGCGUCUUACCAGAACGGGUCCGACGGUGAGGGACGAAAGCUGGGGGCACGAACCGGAUUAGAUACCCGGGUAGUCCCAGCCGUAAACUAUGCUCGCUAGGUGUCAGGGACGGUGCGACCGUUUCUGGUGCCGCAGGGAAGCCGUGAAGCGAGCCACCUGGGA
rnacentral:rRNA from 1 species